CCCCUCUCAGGAUGGGACCUGGAGAGUUGCCAGUACUCUAACAGUCUCAGCUAUGGGAGGGAGAGAGUCAAGCAGAGGCAUACCUAUUCCGUUCCUAGCUUGGGCAGCGGCUAGCCAGUGGAAGGCAAUCUGCUACAAGU